UGAAAUUUUGCAGGGUUGUUGAAAUCAAAUUUAGGGACUUUACUGACGGGACUCUGGGCUGGCUGCUCUGUUCACUCGUCAGCGCAAGUGGCGUGACCAUGUAAUUGGGGCACGGGGCCGGCGCGGCGCGCUGCGGGCUUGCAGAAUUUUGUUUGUUUGUUUGGCCGCGCGCUGGCGCAGCCACGGGCCGCAGUUACUGGGGCGCGCUGUCGUAACAAGCCGCGCGGUGUGGCCUGCACAUUGGGGUAGAGGGGGGGUAGUCUUCCCAGAUGUUCUAGUUAGUUGUUUAGUAAAUUUGACUUCAAUAACGAGCUUUUGUUAUGGUAGGCGCGGCAGGGCGCGCGAAUUUAAGCGCAAGUGAGUGGUGACUCGGGGCUCACUCAGGCGGAGGCUAUGCGUCUCACCUGUGGUCACGAGUUGUUAGUUCGUUCGUGAUGUAGGAAUUCAGGCUCACUCAGGCGGAGGCUAUGCGUCUCACCUGUGGUCACGAGUUGUUAGUUCGUUCGUGAUGUAGGAAUUCAAGCUUUCGGGCGGAAGCUAUGGCCGACGCCAGAGGCCACGAGUCGUUUAAUUUAAGUUAGGUCAUAAUGUAGUCAUCUUCAAGCUUUCGGGCGGAGGCAAUGGCCCUUGUCACUAGUCGUUUAGUUAUAAUUUUUUAAAAUGUAAUGUUCGUUCGGAUUUUAAGGGCAGGAGAGGCCCCUACGUUAGUUUUAAGUAAUCGAUCAAGAAAGGCUUUUCGGAAAAUGUGAGUAUGGACUUAUCUUUGUUUUAAUUUUAAGUAUUAAUUAUGAUUUGAGGUAUUCGGAAGGACUAGGGAAGUGUUUAGUGAAGUUCUCUCAUUCUCUCUCUUGUAAGGUCGUUCAAUCGUUAAGGAAGUAAAGAGAUUAUUGUUUUAAAUUGUAAUCCCGCUAUUUAAAUGUUCUUUAAAAUGAUGUUGAGUAUUUGACUUUAAGAAUAAAAUAAUUUUAAUUAAGUAUUAUGUUAUUUUGCAAAAUCUCCUUAGUUCAGCUCUCACCAGACAUCCUGUACGGGAUGACGAACCUAUGAUCCUAGGUACAGUAAAGUAUUUUAUGAAGUUAAGACUAGUUGAUGCCAAGCGAGUUGUUUCUAUGUAAAGAGCUACGAUUCUCUCCCCCCUCCGAAAGUGGCACGUGACAGAAAUGGCGGUGGCACCGGCUAGGUGCACGUGACAGAAAUGGUGGAGGCGCCGGGUAGGUUCUAUUUCUGGAGAGAGAGAGGUAGAUUUUUAUGUUUAUUAUUAAGUUAGUUUCAGCUUCUGAUAGCAGGUUAUUAAGAGUUUACUUGAGGAGAGGAUUACGGAAUUUUAGUCUAUAGUGGAGGAAGUCUUUGAGAUUUUUUUUUUGACGUAACAGAUGUUUAUUUGAGGAUACUUGUAAGGAUAAAGUUUAUAGUGAUAAGUUGUUUUAAGUCGUUGAAUUUAUUGUAGAUUUAUAUCGGGGAUUAUUACGUGAGGAGAAUACGUUAUAAGUUAAAUGCUUAUUAGAGAUAAUGCAAGUGGUUUAAUUUAAUUGAAGUUCAUUUUAAGAUUGUAGGUUAAGAGAAUUAUAAUUUAAAAUAAAGUUUUUUGUCGUAAAUAGGAAUUAUUUUCAAGAGAAGUUUGUUUUGUUUUCGUGCGCGUAGGAGACGAGACGUACGAAUUAAAUCAGUCGAGGUAAGGAUAAACGUUAGAAAGGAAUUAAAGAGAAAACGAGAGUUUAUGUAAAAGAGAGUUAUAGAAUUUAUAGUGAUGUUUUGUUUUAAUUAGAAAAAUGUUGAGAGUUGUUUCAGAACGACACGUCAGUGGACGUGGCAGAGUGAACACGUGACGGGGAGGUGCUGAGACCUAGCGGAGAACGGAGGAACCGCAAGCGAGGGUUGGCGCACCUGAUGGAAUUCGGUGACGUCACGGGCUCAUACGGAGACGUGGACAGGCCGUGACCUUGUUUUGAUCAGCUGUACGGUAACUUAGCGAUAAGAAAAUAGACUAUUGGUUAAAUAAAUUUAAAUUUAAGUGUGUUUUAGGAGAAGAGGAACUUUCAGUAUAUUCCUUAAGAUGAGCUGAGCAGCAGUCCAGUUUACAAGAUGACAAGAGUUCGAGAGACAAGAUACAAGAUCACUGAAACAAGAGCCAAGACUGAAGAUUCAAGAGAAGAGAAAGCUGGCAGCCAUGGACUUACAAGUGGAGAUUAAUAAGGUCAUGUAAAGUUUUAUUUUUUUUUAUGGAAGACAGUAACUGGAGUUUUUUUUUUGUUAUAAACAUUAUUUACAGAACUUUUUAGGUUAUAGUAAUGUAAUGGAACUAGUGAGUUGUGGUAGCUGUCAAAAAGAACUAAUACCUUAAGUUUAAUUUUUAAAGUUAAUUUUCUUAAUUUACAGAGGGAUUAGUAGUUUUUUUAAACCUUAUUUAGGUUGGAAUUUAAAUACAAUAGCUUAUUAUAAAUGUGUACGAACAGUUCAAGUUCACAGUACUGAUAGGUAGGUCAGAUGAUCUUAUUGAUUUUGAUGAUUUGUUGUUUUGAGUUGAUUUUUAGGUGUUGUGAAUUAGACAAUGAAAUAGUUUUGAAAACUUAAAUUAUUUCAAGCUAAGAAAUAGUAAAUUUAAUUGUAACUCAAAGGACACCAGAAUUUAAUUUUUUUUUGAAUUAGUAAUGUUUGAAAAUUUUAUACUUUACCAGAAAGGUUAUAAACAAACAGAUCGGAUGGAACAAGGAUGCAGUAAAUCACAAUUUCAUUUAGAAUUAUUGAUUUGCUUUUGAGGUUAUGAAGGAAAAGUAGCUAUAAUUUAAAAAUUUGAAUAAAAAUGGUUUUUUUUUAUUUGUUUGAAAUAGAAAGUUUAAAAGUUAAUUAGUCAUGAUCUAGGUGGGUGAUGGGGUGGGAAUUGGCCACUCUUUUUCCCUAUAACCUCCCUAACAUGGCCUUCUAUUACAUCUAACAGAAGAAAAAAAAAGAAGAAAAAGAAGACUUAGUAUUAGUUAGAAUGUUUUUUCAUGAAGAUACCUGAUGAACUUUUUUUUUAUUGUUGGGAAGAAUAGUAGCAAGAUUAAUCAGAUGUUUUACUCAGAAGAAGAAGAAGAAGAAGAUAAAGCAGUUUUAUGACUCGACAAGCCAGAGAUUGGUGUUUCCCCUCUGCGCUUCUAUUGACUACGUUGUUUACUCUCAUGGGAUAGCUGGUUCGGCACCAUGGAGAGAGAUUGGUGGGCAUUGUGGUUGCCCCCAGAAGAAAAGAAGAGUAGAAAGGUUAUGGGUGGGUCAUGUGAAGUGACCUUCAACCCAGUUACUUCGUGGGGACUAUUUGCUGUAUAGAGAAGAUCAAGACUCAAGAGUUAGGGAAAAUCAUUGGAGGUCAUGUUUCCCUUCCUUAAGUUUUUCCUAUCAAAUUAUUUGCCUGAUUAGAUUAUGCUAAGGGUGGGAUACUUUAUGUUAGCAGUUGAAUUAAUUAAUUUUAUUUUUUUUGUGUGUUUGCAUCCUUGCCCAUCGAUUGCAGUUUAGUAGUUAGUUUUGUAUUUGUCAGGCGUGAUGGUAAUGCCUGUUGAUGAUGUUUCAGAAUUGUAAUCUGUUCGUGAUGAGGAUGGCACAACUCCGAAGCAGAUGUGGGGAGAAGUUGUGAGCUGCCCUGGAAGCCAGUCCAGUAGCUGUUGGAGUUGAGUGGUGUUUGCUGAUGGCCAGCCCAGGGAGCUACUCUUCUCGACAACACUGACUUCGAGGAGUUGCACCAACCUUCACGAGAUAAGAGUUUAAUUAAUUGAAACACUGUAAGGACACUUAAUUUUUUUUGAAGAACGAAAGAAGUAUGGUAAUAAACGGAAACCGAAAAAAAAAAAAAAAAUAAUAAUUAUCAAGAAUUUGCACAUUGUUUAACGAAUACUGAGAAACUAAGAACAGUAAUUUAAUUUGUAAAGAGAGCUUCACUAACAGAACAAUUUUUUUAGAAUUGAGAACUCGAGCCUCUGAAGGUUCCUGUGAGAACAAACCAGAUAAAAGUUUUACAUUUAAUUUUAUGAAUACUUGUUGUUUUAAAAUAAAUCUUAUGCAGAAUCUAGAUGUAUGUUCAGACAGCAAGGAACUAAGAAAAUUAUUAUUUUUGUGAAAUGAGGAAUUUAUAGUUAUGGUUUAAUGGAAAAAGACAAUUUGUAAUUUUGAGGUAGCUCGAUGGGGCUCGAGCUCUGUGAGGGGAGGGUUAUGUCGCGGGUUGAAAUUUUGCAGGGUUGUUGAAAUCAAAUUUAGGGACUUUACUGACGGGACUCUGGGCUGGCUGCUCUGUUCACUCGUCAGCGCAAGUGGCGUGACCAUGUAAUUGGGGCACGGGGCCGGCGCGGCGCGCUGCGAGCUUGCAGAAUUUUGUUUGUUUGUUUGGCCGCGCGCUGGCGCAGCCACGGGCCGCAGUUACUGGGGCGCGCUGUCGUAACAAGCCGCGCGGUGUGGCCUGCACAUUGGGGUAGAGGGGGGGUAGUCUUCCCAGAUGUUCUAGUUAGUUGUUUAGUAAAUUUGACUUCAAUAACGAGCUUUUGUUAUGGUAGGCGCGGCAGGGCGCGCGAAUUUAAGCGCAAGUGAGUGGUGACUCGGGGCUCACUCAGGCGGAGGCUAUGCGUCUCACCUGUGGUCACGAGUUGUUAGUUCGUUCGUGAUGUAGGAAUUCAGGCUCACUCAGGCGGAGGCUAUGCGUCUCACCUGUGGUCACGAGUUGUUAGUUCGUUCGUGAUGUAGGAAUUCAAGCUUUCGGGCGGAAGCUAUGGCCGACGCCAGAGGCCACGAGUCGUUUAAUUUAAGUUAGGUCAUAAUGUAGUCAUCUUCAAGCUUUCGGGCGGAGGCAAUGGCCCUUGUCACUAGUCGUUUAGUUAUAAUUUUUUAAAAUGUAAUGUUCGUUCGGAUUUUAAGGGCAGGAGAGGCCCCUACGUUAGUUUUAAGUAAUCGAUCAAGAAAGGCUUUUCGGAAAAUGUGAGUAUGGACUUAUCUUUGUUUUAAUUUUAAGUAUUAAUUAUGAUUUGAGGUAUUCGGAAGGACUAGGGAAGUGUUUAGUGAAGUUCUCUCAUUCUCUCUCUUGUAAGGUCGUUCAAUCGUUAAGGAAGUAAAGAGAUUAUUGUUUUAAAUUGUAAUCCCGCUAUUUAAAUGUUCUUUAAAAUGAUGUUGAGUAUUUGACUUUAAGAAUAAAAUAAUUUUAAUUAA